CAGUUAAAAAGCUCGUAGUUGGAUUUUGGUUAAGAGGGCGCGGUCGGCCGUUUGGUCUGUACUGCGUUGUCUUGACUUCCUGAUGAGGACAUGCUCUUGGUUAACGCUGAGACAUGGAGUCAUCGUGGUUACUUUGAAAAAAUUAGAGUGUUCAAAGCGGGCUUACGCUUGAAUAUAUUAGCAUGGAAUAACACUAUAGGACUCCUGUCCUAUCUCGUUGGUCUCGGGAUGGGAGUAAUGAUUAAGAGGAACAGUUGGGGGCAUUCGUAUUUCAUUGUCAGAGGUGAAAUUCUUGGAUUUAUGAAAGACGAACUUCUGCGAAAGCAUUUGCCAAGGAUGUUUUCAUUAAUCAAGAACGAAAGUUGGGGGCUCGAAGAUGAUUAGAUACCAUCCUAGUCUCAACCAUAAACGAUGCCGACUAGGGAUUGGUGGAUGUUAAUUGAUGACUUCACCAGCACCUUAUGAGAAA
rnacentral:rRNA from 1 species